CUACGGGGGCACCAGUGGGGAAUAUUGCACAAUGGGCGCAAGCCUGAUGCAGCCAUGCCGCGUGUAUGAAGAAGGCCUUCGGGUUGUAAAGUACUUUCAGCGGGGAGGAAGGGAGUAAAGUUAAUACCUUUGCUCAUUGACGUUACCCGCAGAAGAAGCACCGGCUAACUCCGUGCCAGCAGCCGCGGUAAUACGGAGGGUGCAAGCGUUAAUCGGAAGUACUGGGCGUAAAGCGCACGCAGGCGGGUUGUUAAGUCAGAUGUGAAAUCCCCGGGCUCAACCUGGGAACUGCAUCUGAUACUGGCAAGCUUGAGUCUCGUAGAGGGGGGUAGAAUUCCAGGUGUAGCGGUGAAAUGCGUAGAGAUCUGGAGGAAUACCGGUGGCGAAGGCGGCCCCCUGGACGAAGACUGACGCUCAGGUGCGAAAGCGUGGGGAGCAAACAGGAUUAGAUACCCGGGUAGUC
rnacentral:rRNA from 1 species